UUCGCCGAGGGGCGCUGCGACCGUGACAUGUGCGGAUCCUUCCGCAAAAGCCUGCACAUCCCUGUGCAGACUUUCCACAUAGUCCGGCCAGGCUCGGUGGAAUGAACCUGCAACGGCGCCCGGAUACC
rnacentral:ncRNA from 2 species